GAGUUUGAUCCUGGCUCAGGACGAACGCUGGCGGCGUGCUUAACACAUGCAAGUCGAGCGAUGAAGCUUCCUUCGGGAAGUGGAUUAGCGGCGGACGGGUGAGUAACACGUGGGCAACCUGCCUCAAAGAGGGGAAUAGCCCUCCGAAAGGAGGAUUAAUACCGCAUAAAGUUAGAGUUUCGCAUGAAACUUUAACCAAAGGAGUAAUCCGCUUUGAGAUGGGCCCGCGUCCCAUUAGCUAGUUGGUAGGGUAAUGGCUUACCAAGGCAACGAUGGGUAGCCGACCUGAGAGGGUGAUCGGCCACAUUGGAACUGAGACACGGUCCAGACUCCUACGGGAGGCAGCAGUGGGGAAUAUUGCGCAAUGGGGGAAACCCUGACGCAGCAACGCCGCGUGGGUGAUGAAGGUUUUCGGAUCGUAAAACCCUGUUUUCUGGGACGAUAAUGACGGUACCAGAUGAGGAAGCCACGGCUAACUACGUGCCAGCAGCCGCGGUAAUAC
rnacentral:rRNA from 1 species